rnacentral:rRNA from 1 species
GGACGAACGCUGGCGGCGUGCCUAAUACAUGCAAGUCGAGCGAACUCUGGUUUUUGAUUUUUGGUGCUUGCACCAAAAUGAUAAAACAUUUGAGUGAGCGGCGGAUGGGUGAGUAACACGUGGGUAACCUGCCCUAAAGUGGGGGAUAACAUUUGGAAACAAGUGCUAAUACCGCAUAACAACAUUUACCACAUGGUUUAUGUUUAAAAGAUGGUUUUGCUAUCACUUUAGGAUGGACCCGCGGCGUAUUAGUUAGUUGGUGAGGUAAUGGCUCACCAAGACCGUGAUACGUAGCCGACCUGAGAGGGUAAUCGGCCACAUUGGGACUGAGACACGGCCCAAACUCCUACGGGAGGCAGCAGUAGGGAAUCUUCCACAAUGGACGAAAGUCUGAUGAAGCAACGCCGCGUGAGUGAAGAAGGUUUUCGGAUCGUAAAACUCUGUUGUUGAAGAAGAACAUGCGUGAGAGUAACUGUUCACGUAUUGACGGUAUUCAACAGAAAGCCACGGCUAACUACGUGCCAGCAGCCGCGGUAAUACGUAGGUGGCAAGCGUUGUCCGGAUUUAUUGGGCGUAAAGCGAGCGUAGGCGGUUUAUUAAGUCUGAUGUGAAAGCCCUCGGCUCAACCGAGGAAGUGCAUCGGAAACUGGUAAACUUGAGUGCAGAAGAGGAGAGUGGAACUCCAUGUGUAGCGGUGGAAUGCGUAGAUAUAUGGAAGAACACCAGUGGCGAAGGCGGCUCUCUGGUCUGUAACUGACGCUGAGGUUCGAAAGCGUGGGUAGCAAACAGGAUUAGAUACCCUGGUAGUCCACGCCGUAAACGAUGAGUGCUAAGUGUUGGAGGGUUUCCGCCCUUCAGUGCUGCAGCUAACGCAUUAAGCACUCCGCCUGGGGAGUACGACCGCAAGGUUGAAACUCAAAGGAAUUGACGGGGGCCCGCACAAGCGGUGGAGCAUGUGGUUUAAUUCGAAGCAACGCGAAGAACCUUACCAGGUCUUGACAUACCAUGAAAAGUUAAGAGAUUAGUCUUUCCCUUCGGGGACAUGGAUACAGGUGGUGCAUGGUUGUCGUCAGCUCGUGUCGUGAGAUGUUGGGUUAGGUCCCGCAACGAGCGCAACCCUUAUUACUAGUUGCCAGCAUUCAGUUGGGCACUCUAGUGAGACUGCCGGUGACAAACCGGAGGAAGGUGGGGACGACGUCAAAUCAUCAUGCCCCUUAUGACCUGGGCUACACACGUGCUACAAUGGUCGGUACAACGUGCUGCGAACUCGCGAGGGUAAGCAAAUCACUUAAAACCGAUCUCAGUUCGGAUUGUAGGCUGCACUCGCCUACAUGAAGCUGGAAUCGCUAGUAAUCGCGGAUCAGCAUGCCGCGGUGAAUACGUUCCCGGGCCUUGUACACACCGCCCGUCACACCAUGAGAGUUUGUAACACCCAAAGCCGGUGGGGUAACCUUUUAUUAGGAGCUAACCGUCUAAGGUGGGACAAAUGAUUAGGGUGAAGUCGUAACAAGGUAACCAA